rnacentral:lncRNA from 1 species
CUUCUGAUUAUUUUUUUUUUUUUUUUUUUUCUUCCGCCUAAUUUUGUUCUUGCGAUAAACAUUUGUUUCGCAAUAUGUCGCUUAGAUAUUUUGUAUAUGAUAUCGAACAGUUUAUGCGCUUUUGAAAUUUACCCUGCGUAAACAAAUACUUUUCUUUGUAGGAGUUAUCUCCCCAAACACUGUUUUCCUUGUUAGCGCAUCUCCUUUGCAACCGUAAAAGAUUAUGACAAAUUUAUUUUACAAAAUUGCUCGUUAUAUCCUUCGCAUGAUUUGUCCUAUUUUGACCGAAGCGAUAUGACCGCUCCAUAUGAGAGUUAUUUCCCCUUAUGCAUCUUAUA